UACAGAGGAGCCAAGCGUUGUCCGGAUUGACUGGGCGUAAAGCGCACGCAGGCGGCACCGUGCGUGGGGUGUGAAAUCUGGCCGCUUAACGGCCAGGCGCCAUCCCAUACGGCGGAGCUAGAGUGAUGCAGAGGUCGGUGGAAUUGCCGGUGUAGUGGUGAAAUGCGUAGAGAUGCGGAGGAAUACCAGUGGCGAAGGCGGCCUUCUGGGACUCAACUGACGCUGAAGCGCGAAAGCAUGGGGAGCGAACGGG
rnacentral:rRNA from 1 species